AGGUUAAAACUCAAAUGAAUUGACMGGGGCCCGCACAAGCGGUGGAGCAUGUGGUUUAAUUWGAUGCAACGCGAAGAACCUUACCUGGUCUUGACAUCCACAGAAKUUUCCAGAGAUGGAUUGGUGCCUUCGGGAACUGUGAGACAGGUGCUGCAUGGCUGUCGUCAGCUCGUGUUGUGAAAUGUUGGGUUAAGUCCCGCAACGAGCGCAACCCUUAUCCUUUGUUGCCAGCGGUCCGGCCGGGAACUCAAAGGAGACUGCCAGUGAUAAACUGGAGGAAGGUGGGGAUGACGUCAAGUCAUCAUGGCCCUUACGACCAGGGCUACACACGUGCUACAAUGGCGCAUACAAAGAGAAGCGACCUCGCGAGAGCAAGCGGACCUCAUAAAGUGCGUCGUAGUCCGGAUUGGAGUCUGCAACUCGACUCCAUGAAGUCGGAAUCGCUAGUAAUCGUAGAUCA
rnacentral:rRNA from 1 species